CAGCUCCCUCGCUGCGAUCUAUU
rnacentral:piRNA from 2 species